rnacentral:rRNA from 1 species
GAAGGCCUAUGGGUUGUAAACUUCUUUUCUCAGAGAAGAAUUCUUGACGGUAUCUGAGGAAUAAGCAUCGGCUAACUCUGUGCCAGCAGCCGCGGUAAGACAGAGGAUGCAAGCGUUAUCCGGAAUGGAUUGGGCGUAAAGCGUCUGUAGGUGGCUUAAAAAGUCUUCUGUCAAAGAUCAGGGCUUAACCCUGGGCCGGCAGGAGAAACUCUUAGGCUAGAGUUGGUAGGGGCAGAGGGAAUUCCCGGUGGAGCGGUGAAAUGCGUAAAGAUCGGGAGGAACACCAAAGGCGAAAGCACUCUGCUGGGCCACAACUGACACUGAGAGACAA